CCGGGUGUCUCUGCGACAAGUCUUUUCUGCACCGGGGUCAAGGUCAUGAUACAAAUUCUUUCCUCCGGACCUCUAGCCGUCGUCGGCUCUGUGCUGAAGCAGUUGGAGAACGCCAUCGGAAUGCACUGUUGAUGCGAUUCUGCUAGCACGGAUGGUUCGUAAAACUCAAGGUGCCGAGUUAAUGAAGCUACAGUUCCCGCCAUCGUCAACGUUUAUUUAAGGCUGAAAAAUAAAAGAAUCAAAGAGACGCGGAA